rnacentral:rRNA from 1 species
AUACGUAGGUGACAAGCGUUAUCCGGAUUUACCGGGCGUAAAGGGCGUGUAGGCGGUCUUGCAAGUCAGAAGUGAAAUUCCUGAGCUCAACUCGGGCGCUGCUUCUGAAACUGCAGGGCUUGAGUGCUGGAGGGGAUAGCGGAAUUCCUAGUGGAGCGGUAAAAUGCGCAGAUAUUAGGAAGAACACCGGUGGCGAAGGCGGCUAUCUGGACAGUAACUGACGCUGAGGCGCGAAAGCGUGGGGUGCAAACAGGAUUAGAUACCCUGGUAGUCCACGUCGUAAACGAUGAAUACUAGGUGUAGGGGGUAUCGACUCCCUCUGUGCCGCAGUUAACACAAUAAGUAUUCCGCCUGGGGAGUACGGCCGCAAGGUUGAAACUCAAAUGAAUUGACGGGG